GCGGAUAUGGCGCAGUGGCACCGCAUUCGAUUCGUAAUCGAAAGAUCCCGGGUUCGAUCCCCGGUGUCCGCUA